GCUAGGAAUUGAUGACGAUGAGGGUGACAAUGAUGUAGACGACAAGGGCAAAGAUGAUAAGGGUGUUGAAAAGGGGCUAGAGGUGGUGAUUGGCAAUAGGUGUGGCGUUGUCUCUGCUGGCAAACGCUCAACAGGUAUGACGGGUGGCGUAGAAACCGAGGAAGCAGAGUGAGUCGAUAUAGGCAACAGGAUAAAAGGAGGUCGCGUGACAUGCUCAGCUGCGGAUGUGGAUGAUGUUGACGAGGGGGAAGACGCCGCAGGGCUGGAUGCGGAAGCGGAGCUUGAAGACGUCAUAUCAAUGGUCGAUAUAGGUAAGUUAGAAAAUGUGACACUAGAAUCAGACAUCGGCGAGGUAGGAUCGUCUACUGGGGGCUGUGAGGGAGUUCCAGGUCCGUUUUCAGGGGCAG
rnacentral:sRNA from 1 species